rnacentral:lncRNA from 1 species
UCCAGGUCUUACCUUGGCCUUUCCUUCCUGGCUCAAAACCUGUGGGUUCACCUCACAGGUGAGCAACCUCCAGCUUGACCUCAAGUCCUUCUUUUACAAUACGUUCUCAAGGAGACAGAAGCCAAGAGUCUGGGCCCUGCCUCUUCCUUAGCUCCGACCCCAGGCUCACAAAGGAAUUGGAGCGGCUUCAAGCAACAGUGCUCAUGUCUCACUCCUGCUGUCUGCACACGGCACAGCAGCUGGAGGCUCUGCUCACAUCUUCCUCGUUCUGGGACCUAGGCUGAGGAAACAGCCCUCACCUGGAGCAUGGCUGGUCCCUCUGGCAGAAGGAAAGAGAGUACGGUGAGCCACAUGUUGGCUCAGAAAACAUCACCCAGGAGUAACAAGGCAAGUCUCAU